UACGUAGGGUGCGAGCGUUGUCCGGAAUUAUUGGGCGUAAAGAGCUUGUAGGCGGUUUGUCGCGUCUGCUGUGAAAAUCCGGGGCUCAACCCCGGACUUGCAGUGGGUACGGGCAGACUAGAGUGUGGUAGGGGGAGACUGGAAUUCCUGGUGUAGCGGUGGAAUGCGCAGAUAUCAGGAGGAACACCGAUGGCGAAGGCAGGGUCUCUGGGCCACUACUGACUGAGAAGCGAAAGCAUGGGGGAGC
rnacentral:rRNA from 1 species